AAUGAACGCUGGCGGCGCGCCUAACACAUGCAAGUCGAACGAGAAAUCUCGAGCUUGCUCGAGAGAGUAAAGUGGCGCACGGGUGAGUAACGCGUGGGUAACCUGCCCUUGAAUCUGGAAUAAUCCACCGAAAGGUGGCCUAAUACCGGAUAUAGUCCUGAGAACCACGGUUCUCUGGAUGAAAGCUGACCUCUUCUUGAAAGUUGGCGUUUAAGGAAGGGCCCGCGUACCAUUAGCUUGUUGGUAGGGUAAAGGCCUACCAAGGCUACGAUGGUUAGCUGGUCUGAGAAGAUGUCCAGCCACACUGGAACUGAAACACGGUCCAGACUCCUAUGGGAGGCAGCAGUGAGGAAUUUUGCGCAAUGGGGGAAACCCUGACGCAGCGACGCCGCGUGAGUGAAGAAGGCCUUCGGGUCGUAAAGCUCUGUCAAGUGGGAAUAAAGUUCCGCGAUUAAUAGCCGCGGGAUCUGAAGGUACCAUUAAAGGAAGCACCGGCUAACUCCGUGCCAGCAGCCGCGGUAAUACGGAGGGUGCGAGCGUUAUUCGGAUUUAUUGGGCGUAAAGAGCGUGUAGGCGGUUGGGUUAGUCAGAUGUGAAAUCCUUCUGCUCAAGAGAAGAAGUGCAUCUGAAACUACCCAACUUGAGUACGAGAGAGGAAAGUGGAAUUCCCAGUGUAGAGGUGAAAUUCGUAGAUAUUGGGAGGAACACCUGUGGCGAAGGCGACUUUCUGGAUCGAUACUGACGCUGAGACGCGAAGGCGUGGGGAGCAAACAGGAUUAGAUACCCUGAUAGUCCACGCCGUAAACGAUGGGAACUAGGUGUAGUGGGUAUUGAUCCCUGCUGUGCCGAAGCCAACGCAUUAAGUUCCCCGCCUGGGGAGUACGGUCGCAAGGCUAAAACUCAAAGGAAUUGACGGG
rnacentral:rRNA from 1 species